AAAUCAAGAGAAGGGACAUGGUAAAUAUAAAAAAAAAAUUUUGAAAAAAAUUUGAGAAAAAAAAAGAGGAAAUCUUGAAUAGCAAAAGUUGCUAUAAGGAUGGUGAGAUUUUUAGCAAGUGUUGCUUGAGUGCCCUAGGAUUUGAUUUUUCUAUGUGUUGGAACCAAAAAUCAUAUCCUAAAUUGUGUAACAUUUGAAGAGUAUCUUUUUAAUAUCAUUCUAGUGGUA
rnacentral:lncRNA from 1 species